CUCCGUAGACGGUUUUUUUUAUUAAUGUUGCUUUUUUUUUUAAUUCGAAAGAAUUCCCGGAAGUGGGCUGUUAUUGUUAUUGUUGCGGCUAACUUCACGGCAGGAGUAGGAGGAGAAGGAGGACGAAGAGGAGGGAGAGGGGGGAUCCGUACAACUUUCCUCCUUCAAAAAACCUCGCAGAGCAGAAGUGGGUACAGUCUGGAGUGGGACAGCAGGCUUCGCGGAACACACACAUUAAAAGAAACUACAGGCAUGAAAUCAUCCGAUUUGCCGAAGCGUUCGUCGUCCAGAAGUUCAUCACCGCAGCGAGGACAAGUCACCAGAAGACAAACUUUUAUCCCUUGACCUCCCACCGUGAAGCCGGUGUUCUGCCAGGAGCCCUGUCUGCUGCUUAAAUCCAUCCCGAAACACACAAAAGAGCAAACCUGAGCCGACGUCUUCCACCGCGCGAGUGGCCGAGGUGGAGCCCAUGUUCUGGUAACUCUGCUACUUGUUUAAAAAAAAGAAAAGAAAAGAAAAGAAAGCUGCAGGAAUACACACUAAAAGAAGAAACGGGUGCAGUGAGCCCAGGGAGACAUUGUUUGACAUUAGUGUGCACCUAUUGUUUUACAAUGUUGAGAAGACAGCUGCUAUAGAUGGAGAAUGCAAAGUUAGAUAACAGAUCUGCAUCGACUGCAUCAAACCUUUACCUGCUUUAACAAGAGACAGAAAAGAUUUUUACGUGCUCCGGUCUUUUUUGAAGUUGAAGUAGGCUAUUCCAAAAAUACUGUGAAGUCUAAUCAGGUCAUACAUUAAUAGAAGUCAGGGGAUUAGUAGAACAAAGGGUUGCAGAGGAGGACAAACCUCUGUAAGUCAAAGGCUGCAGACCCGUAUGGGGGUAAUGUAUAGGGGCCGAUUGUGUUUAGCGUCAGUGCCUGUUUGUUUUACGACAAUCGCCAACCAGAGGUUAGCAUUAAAAGUAAUCAUUUAUCUGUAAUUGGAUAAAUAAAUACUCGGCCCUGCAUGUUCACCCGUCUCUUUCCUCCCAUGGGACGGAGGUCGGUUUGGUUCCCAGGCAGAGUCGAGGAGAAACUCUCACACUGAGGGAACAUGUAAGUAUUCUGGGAGUAAGCAGUGCAGGGCUGGAUGGACACCUCGCAGUGGUUUACUGGUUCUUAAGAGUGUGGGUCUUUUAUGUGCAACUAAGCUACAGUGAAAAACAAUUCCCCUUGUGGAUCAUUAAAGUCCAUCUAAGUCUAAAACGACAAAGAGCAAAUCAUUUUUUUUGUUGUUGUUGGUACAGAAGAUGCAGCUGUCAUCUAACUGUUGUGAAUGCACCUCAAAUCUCCCGCUGACCAUCAUGUCCCAUGCAAGCACCCAAAAAACAAGUAUAUAUUUUGUGAAUACACACUCUACAUGUAUGUGAAAAUAAACAUGGUUUUCUCAAGUUUUACAUUUUUGUGCAUCCUGGUGUAAAAGUGUUAGCAUGUAGCAUCAGAGCCAAUGAUCUGCUUUGCGACGAUAUUGGGUUCAGAUUGUCGCGCCAGCGAUCUGAACCCGCGACUAUGGUCUGUAUUCUGAAAAAUUCUCGUCUCUAUAGCGAUUAAACAGGAAGUGCUUUAGUUAGCCGGGUGCAGUUUGUGUCCUUGUGAGCUCAGCCUCGGUCUUUGUGCAUGUAACGUUAUGUUUGUUGAGUGUGCGUAUGUGUGUGUGUGUAAGCCAGUUUGUUUGUGUUGAUCUAGGCCUCUGAGCUCUUUGUGUUUUGAGGAGGGGUCUCCGGCCUCUCGGGGCUGACCUCAGUGUUGUCAUGGAGACGGCAAUAGCCACUUCCUGAAUUCUCGGCCCAUCCCGCGGCACAUUAUACAGGCACGGGGAUCAAGAGUCAGACUCGGAUCAGAGCUGGAGUGGAAACAAGUUAAAAAUGGCGUAAAACGCAAACGGCGAUCUAGUUUUAAAAUGGGAAGUAAUGCAGCAGACCAGACUUUACAUUAACACGUUAAUAAAUACACAUCUGCAAAUGCAGUUGUCUGUAUAAAUCUCUCAGAGCUUGGUUAAGUUCACUUUGUUUCAGAUCCCAGAUGUAGGUUGUAAGUUAGUGGUUUCCUUUAGUUCAGUAUUGGUUAUAAUAAAUAAUGAGAAAGUUUGAUUGGCUUUCCUGCUGCCUUCCUGUCGUACAACCAAGAACGUUGUUUGUCUUAAUAAGCCAUAGAGAUAUUAAACAGCUAAAUCAUUAGCAUGAGCUAAAUAUUAUUGGUUUAAAAGGUUUACAGAUGUAUGCAUUUUAGUUUUUCCCUUUAAAGUAUUGAGUUGGCAACCGGACCUUUUCCUGGUUUUGCAAAAAUGUCAACCUACGUCCCCGAGGCUCACUAAUUAACAGGUCAUAUACAUCAUUUAACGAAGACACAGGCAGGAUUGUAAAUUAUUGCUUUUGUAGGUGGUUGUGAUCUUGCCUUUGUGAACUUUAGACUCUUUCUGUGCCUGCUAGUUUGCCACCUCUAACUGUCACGAAUAAAUGACUUCUUAAAACAAAAUGUCCGACACAUAUCACAGUAAGUAUAAACACACAAAUGAUGGCAUUCAUAUAUAAGGAAAGCAUGUUAAAAAAAAAAGAGA